rnacentral:sRNA from 1 species
ACUGCACAUGCUGAGGACCGAGCCCCCGGGGACGUUCCUCGUGCGGAAAUCUAGCACCCGCCAGUGCCAGGCGCUGUGCUUGCGUUUGCCUGAAGCCAGCGGCCCCUCCUUCGUCUCCAGCCACUACAUCCUGGAGAGCCCUGGCGGUGAGGGGCUGGCCUGGCGGGAAGGGGCUGGAAGCAGGGAGGUUCCCCAGAGAAGCACCUCACUUCCCUCCUCUCUCAGGCGUCUUCUUGGAGGGCUCGGAGCUCGUGUUCCCGGACCUAGUCCAGCUCAUCUGUGCCUACUGCCACAGCCGGUGAGUCUGCCCACAGGGUGCCUGGUGUCCACGGGCCCUGCUCCUUGGGACAGCCCAUCCUCCCCAUCCCCUUUGGCCCUCACUCCCUUCUGCUCCCCUCUCUGGCCUCAGGGACAUCCUUCUCCUCCCGCUGCAGCUCCCCAGAGCCAUCCACCGCGCAGCCACCCACAAAGAGCUGGAGGCCAUCUCCCAUCUGGGCAUUGGUAAGGGCUCCCUGCCACCCAUUGCACAGAUGAACAAGCUGAGGCUGAGGGCAAGGGAAGGCUCGCGCACACCUCCCGAAGCCCAUGCCUUGCCUUGGUUGGGAGACUUCCCCUAACCAAUCCUGGAGGCCCCAGUCAGUUUCUUGUUCCCUAGAGUUCUGGAGCUCCUCCCUCAACAUCAAGGCUCAGCGGGGCCCGGCUGGAGGCCCAGUGUUGCCCCAGCUGAAGGCCCGGUCCCCUCAAGAGCUGGACCAGGGCACCGGAGCCGCCUUGUGCUUCUUCAACCCCCUGUUCCCGGGGGACCUAGGGCCCACCAAGCGGGAGAAAUUCAAGAGAAGCUUCAAAGUGCGCGUGUCCACAGAGACCUCCAGCCCCCUGUCUCCACCUGCCGUGCCGCCUCCCCCCGUCCCCGUGCUGCCAGGGACAGUCCCCAGCCAGACAGAGCGGCUGCCCCCUUGCCAGCUGCUACGGAGAGAGAGCUCAGUGGGGUACCGCGUGCCAGCAGGCGGUGGCCCUAGCCUUCCGCCUAUGCCCUCCCUCCAGGAGGUGGACUGUGGCUCCCCCAGCAGCUCCGAGGAAGAGGGGGUGCCAGGGUCCCAGGGGAGCCCAGCGACCUCACCCCACCUGGGCCGCCGGCGGCCUCUGCUUCGGUCCAUGAGCGCCGCCUUCUGCUCCCUACUGGCGCCGGAGCGGCAGGUGGGCCGGGCCGCAGCAGCACUGAUGCAGGACCGACACACAGCCGCGGGCCAGCUGGUGCAGGACCUACUGACCCAGGUGCGGGCCAGGCCCGAGCCCCAGGAGCUGCAGGGCAUCCGUCAGGCGCUGAGCCGGGCCCGGGCCAUGCUGAGCGCGGAGCUGGGCCCUGAGAAGCUGCUGUCGCCUAAGAGGCUGGAACAUGUCCUGGAGAAGUCAUUGCAUCGCUCUGUGCUCAAGCCUCUCCGACCCAUCCUGGCAGCCCGCCUGCGGCGCCGGCUUGCAGCAGACGGCUCCCUGGGCCGCCUAGCUGAGGGCUUCCGCCUGGCCCGGGCCCAGGGCCCUGGAGCCUUCGGGUCCCACCUGAGCCUGCCCUCCCCAGUAGAAAUGGAGCAGGUGCGCCAGAAGCUGCUGCAGCUGCUCCGCACCUACUCACCCAGCGCCCAGGUCAAGCGGCUCCUGCAGGCCUGCAAGCUGCUCUACAUGGCCCUGAGGACCCAGGAAGGGGAGGGCGCGGGUGCCGACGAGUUCCUGCCUCUGCUGAGCCUCGUCUUGGCCCACUGUGACCUUCCUGAGCUGCUGCUGGAGGCCGAGUACAUGUCGGAGCUGCUGGAGCCCAGCCUGCUCACCGGAGAGGGUGGCUACUACCUGACCAGCCUCUCUGCCAGCCUGGCCCUGCUGAGUGGCCUGGGUCAGGCCCACACACUCCCACUGAGCCCUGCGCAGGAGCUACGGCGCUCCCUCAGCCUCUGGGAGCAGCGCCGCCUGCCUGCCACCCAGUGCUUUCAGUACCUCCUCCGAGUAGCCUAUCAGGAUCCCAGCAGUGGCUGCACCUCCAAGACCCUGGCCGUGCCCCCAGAGGCCUCAAUCGCCACCCUGAACCAGCUCUGUGCCACCAAGUUCCGAGUGACCCAGCCCAACACUUUUGGCCUCUUCCUGUACAAGGAGCAGGGCUACCACCGCCUGCCCCCUGGGGCCCUGGCCCACAGGCUGCCCACCACUGGCUACCUUGUCUACCGCCGAGCAGAGUGGCCUGAGAUCCAGGGGACUGCGACAGAGGAGGAGAGCAGUGGGCAGUCAGAGGCAAGAAGCAGAGGGGAGGAGCAAGGGUGCCAGGGAGAUGGGGACGCUGGGGUCAAAGCCAGCCCCAGGGACAUUCGGGAACAGUCUGAGACAACUGCUGAAGGGGGCCAGGGUCAAGCCCGGGAAGGCCCUGCUCAGCCAGGGGAACCAGAGGCAGAGGGAAGCCGGGUAGCAGAGGAGUAGCUUGAAGUGGCCAGAAGGGUCAUUCGGGGCGGGAGACCCUGAGCCUGCUGAUAAAUCCUUUUAGCGCCAGCAGCCCCACCCAGGGCCCUGUCCUGUGUCUGCCACCACCUUUGUCUGAUACUUGUCUCCAGGGAAGCUGGGGGAACUGCCACAUCUGAGGAACUGGAAUAAAGAUGAGGGGGCUUGGGGGACCCCCAGACUGUGUGCCCACGGCCCCUUUCCUCUUGUUCUUCUUCCCCAGCUGAGGGUGAGCCAGCCUGCAAUGGGGAGUGUGCCAAGUGGGGGCGAAUCCGACGGAUGCCCAACCUCUGACGCGGGGAGGGCGAUAGUCUCAGCUCCUUUUACCCUUCCCCUCAUGGGCAUGGCUAAGGCAGGGCUCCACCCAAGUAUCCCCCACCAGGCUGGGACUUCCAGACCCUAAAAGGUUCCAAUGGCUCUUAGUUGUCAGGAGGAUUUAGAGAGGCCACGGAACAGCAGCAAAGGCUCGGGGCCCACCCCUGUCCUGGACACCAGAAGGACCUGCACCUGCAAGCCUCAGUACUCUCAUCUGUAAAGUGGGGACACUAUUGCUGCCCUGCUCGGCUCCCAGAAGUGUCCCAGUGAUCAAAAUGGGUGAUUUUGCUACAGGCAGAGCUCAUGGCAGAAAGGGAGGGAGAGAGCUGGGCUGCUAACUCUCUCCCGGAGUCCGCUCUCUGCCAGACAGGGCUCCCACCUGCUGACGCCCAGUUCAGGGAGGUUAUUCCCGUGGAAAUCAGGCCCUGGGGAGAAAGUACCCAAGUUACAGUCUCUCCCCAAGAUUUGGAGUCCUCCCAGGCCCUCCAGCAUCUCUGGGGAGAUCCACCAGCUGGCAGAUAAGCUUCUAGAGUGGAGAGGGGGCUCAGAAACCAUGCUCUCUGCACUAAACUCUUGGCCCUCACAAAAGCUUUACUUGGCAUGGCUUGUUGGGCCCACUGAGGGUCAAGAAAGUGACUCCCAGGAUGUCAUACAGCAAGUCCUUAAGGGUUCCGCCGCCCAAACCAGGGCAUCAGGUUCCAACUCCACCCUCCAUUUUAAGCCACCCAUAAAGGCCGGGGCAGCCCCCAAGGAAGCCGAGAGCAGGCAGCAAAUCCAAACAAGGAAAAGUGCCGACGACCAACCACGAGGGGGCGUGCACGGCCCAGGAAGCUGCCGAGAGGGUGCCCACCCAGGGGUGAGGGCGCCUCCAAGGCUGCAGCAGCACAGGGGGACCCGGGCCUUGCAGUCCAGCAGCAUCAGGCAACCUGGGGACAGCGAAGGGGCCAAGGCUGCUGGCCCCCAGGUCCCUUAGAUUCUGGGGUCUGGGUAAGGCCAGCCUCUUGGGGGCCAUCCCCAGGAAGGAAGGAAUUGUCCCCCCAUGGAGGACGACCCCAGAGGCUCUCUCCUCGGGCACUGGGCACAGAGGGGACGUCAGCCCACAUGUCAGACAUGACAACUGGGAGGUAGAAAUCGUGGACAUUGGCUUUUUGGGUUUUUUUGUUCGUUUGUUUGUUUGAGAUGGAGUUUUGCUCUGUCGCUCUGGCUAAAGUGCAGUGGUGUGAUCUCGGCUCACAGCAACCUUCGCCUCCCGGUUCAAGUGAUUUUCCUGCCUCAGCCUCCCGAGUAGCUGGGACUACAGGUGUGCACCACCACACCUGGCUGAUUUUUGUGUUAUUAGUAGAGACGGGGUUUCCCCAUGUUGGCCAGGCUGGUCUCAAACUCCCGACCUCAGGUGAUCCGCCCGUCUUGGCCUCCCAAAGUACUGGGAUUACAGGCGUGAGCUACCGCGCCCAGCCAGACAUUGACUUUCAGAUGAGCAGUCCAGAUACAGCCCAGUUGCAGGGCUCCCAUUUUUUUGUCACUAGGCCACCAGCAGCUCUUCCCUCCCCACUUCCAUGCUCUCCCAAGGUUCUCACUGAUAGGAAGUGUCCCGUUGGCUCUUCUGUCCUCCCUCCCUGUUUCACCACUCACUCCUAGUGCCUCACACAGUCCAAUGCUGAGCACAAAUGCCAUAGGCGCUCAAUAAAUGUUGUUCACUG